rnacentral:tRNA from 1 species
GAGCAUAUGGCUCAGUGGUAGAGCACAUGCCUAACACGCAGGACGUACUGGGUUCAAUCCCCAGCACCUCCA